UACGUAGGGUGCAAGCGUUAUCCGGAAUUUGAUUGGGCGUAAAGAGCUCGUAGGCGGUCUGUCGCGUCUGCUGUGAAAACUCGGGGCUUAACCCCGGGCCUGCAGUGGGUACGGGCAGACUAGAGUGCGGUAGGGGGAGACUGGAAUUCCUGGUGUAGCGGUGAAAUGCGCAGAUAUCAGGAGGAACACCGGUGGCGAAGGCGGGGUCUCUGGGCCGUAACUGACGCUGAGGAGCGAAAGCAUGGGGAGCGAACAGG
rnacentral:rRNA from 1 species